rnacentral:rRNA from 1 species
UUAAGUGAAUAAGGGCGCACGGUGGAUGCCUUGGCACUAGGAGCCGAUGAAGGACGGGACUAACACCGAUAUGCUUUGGGGAGCUGUAAGUAAGCUAUGAUCCAGAGAUUUCCGAAUGGGGGAACCCAAUAUCUUUUAUAGGAUAUUACUUUUCAGUGAAUACAUAGCUGAUUAGAGGUAGACGCAGAGAACUGAAACAUCUUAGUACCUGCAGGAAGAGAAAGAAAAUUCGAUUCCCUGAGUAGCGGCGAGCGAAACGGGAAGAGCCCAAACCAACAAGCUUGCUUGUUGGGGUUGUAGGACUCCAAUAUGGUAGUCUGUUAGUAUAGUUGAAGGAUUUGGAAAAUUCCGCUAAAGAGGGUGAAAGCCCCGUAGACGAAAUGCUAACAACACCUAGGAGGAUCCUGAGUACGGCGGAACACGAGAAAUUCCGUCGGAAUCCGCGGGGACCAUCCCGCAAGGCUAAAUACUCCCUAGUGACCGAUAGUGAACCAGUACCGUGAGGGAAAGGUGAAAAGCACCCCGGAAGGGGAGUGAAAUAGAUCCUGAAACCGUGUGCCUACAACAAGUCAAAGCUCGUUAAUGAGUGAUGGCGUGCCUUUUGUAGAAUGAACCGGCGAGUUACGAUUGCAUGCGAGGUUAAGUCGAAGAGACGGAGCCGCAGCGAAAGCGAGUCUGAAUAGGGCGAAUGAGUAUGUAGUCGUAGACCCGAAACCAUGUGAUCUACCCAUGUCCAGGUUGAAGGUGCGGUAAAACGCACUGGAGGACCGAACCCACGUACGUUGAAAAGUGCGGGGAUGAGGUGUGGGUAGCGGAGAAAUUCCAAACGAACUUGGAGAUAGCUGGUUCUCUCCGAAAUAGCUUUAGGGCUAGCCUCGGAAUUGAGAAUGAUGGAGGUAGAGCACUGUUUGGACUAGGGGCCCAUCUCGGGUUACCGAAUUCAGAUAAACUCCGAAUGCCAUUCAUUUAUAUCCGGGAGUCAGACUGCGAGUGAUAAGAUCCGUAGUCGAAAGGGAAACAGCCCAGACCACCAGCUAAGGUCCCAAAAUAUAUGUUAAGUGGAAAAGGAUGUGGGGUUGCACAGACAACUAGGAUGUUGGCUUAGAAGCAGCCACCAUUUAAAGAGUGCGUAAUAGCUCACUAGUCGAGUGACCCUGCGCCGAAAAUGUACCGGGGCUAAACAUAUUACCGAAGCUGUGGACUACACCAUUAGGUGUAGUGGUAGGAGAGCGUUCUAAGGGCGUUGAAGGUCGAUCGUGAGGACGGCUGGAGCGCUUAGAAGUGAGAAUGCCGGUAUGAGUAGCGAAAGACAGGUGAGAAUCCUGUCCACCGUAUGACUAAGGUUUCCUGGGGAAGGCUCGUCCGCCCAGGGUUAGUCGGGACCUAAGCCGAGGCCGAUAGGCGUAGGCGAUGGACAACAGGUUGAUAUUCCUGUACCAGUUGUUUUUGUUUGAGCAAUGGAGGGACGCAGUAGGCUAAGGAAUGCAUGCGAUUGGAAGUGCAUGUCCAAGCAAUGAGUCUUGAGUAGAGUUAAAUGCUUUACUCUUUAAGGACAAGUUGUGACGGGGAGCGAAAUAAUAGUAGCGAAGUUCCUGAUGUCACACUGCCAAGAAAAGCUUCUAGUGAGAAAAUAACUGCCCGUACCGUAAACCGACACAGGUAGUCGAGGAGAGUAUCCUAAGGUGAGCGAGCGAACUCUCGUUAAGGAACUCGGCAAAAUGACCCCGUAACUUCGGGAGAAGGGGUGCUGACGACCGUCAGCCGCAGUGAAUAGGCCCAAGCGACUGUUUAUCAAAAACACAGGUCUCUGCAAAAUCGUAAGAUGAAGUAUAGGGGCUGACGCCUGCCCGGUGCUGGAAGGUUAAGAGGAUGGGUUAGCUUCGGCGAAGCUCAGAAUUGAAGCCCCAGUAAACGGCGGCCGUAACUAUAACGGUCCUAAGGUAGCGAAAUUCCUUGUCGGGUAAGUUCCGACCCGCACGAAAGGCGUAAUGAUUUGGGCACUGUCUCAACGAGAGACUCGGUGAAAUUUUAGUACCUGUGAAGAUGCAGGUUACCCGCGACAGGACGGAAAGACCCCAUGGAGCUUUACUGUAGUUUGAUAUUGAGUGUUUGUACCACAUGUACAGGAUAGGUAGGAGCCGAUGAGACCGGAACGCUAGUUUCGGAGGAGGCGCUGGUGGGAUACUACCCUUGUGUUAUGAACCCUCUAACCCGCACCACUAAUCGUGGUGGGAGACAGUGUCAGAUGGGCAGUUUGACUGGGGCGGUCGCCUCCUAAAAGGUAACGGAGGCGCCCAAAGGUUCCCUCAGAAUGGUUGGAAAUC